GCACAACGCGAAGAACCUUACCAAGGCUUGACAUCCCCUUGACCGGCACAGAGAUGUGCCCUCUCCUUCGGGAGCAAGGGUGACAGGUGGUGCAUGGUUGUCGUCAGCUCGUGUCGUGAGAUGUUGGGUUAAGUCCCGCAACGAGCGCAACCCUUAUCCUUAGUUGCCAGCAGGUAAAGCUGGGCACUCUAAGGAGACUGCCGAUGAUAAAUCGGAGGAAGGUGGGGAUGACGUCAAAUCAUCAUGCCCCUUAUGUCUUGGGCUACACACGUGCUACAAUGGUCGGUACAAAGGGCAGCGAAGGAGUGAUCUGGAGCAAAUCCCAAUAAACCGAUCUCAGUUCGGAUUGUAGGCUGCAACUCGCCUACAUGAAGUCGGAGUUGCUAGUAAUCGCGAAUCAGAACGUCGCGGUGAAUGCGUUCCCGGGUCUUGUACACACCG
rnacentral:rRNA from 1 species